CGAGCUACAAAGAAUCAUUUGUCUCGACUGCCUGGGCCAGGCUCGCUUCUGCUGCAGCUCACAGACGGCACAGUUAUCCAGGAGACUGGAAGAAUGCAGUCAAGAAUAAUGCAAAAAUGGAGGGACAAACUGUUCUACAGCUUUAGGAGGGGCACAAGCCCAGCACAGUCUCAGUUUUCAGAGGACUACAGCUCCCAUGAUCCCCAAGAAGAAAUGAACCUGAGCUUUGACAGCAACGCACUUCGGGAAAAGGAGGAGGUGUCGGUGAUGAUCUAACCAGCACCUGACUCGCCAGCCAUUUGUCCUUGGAGGGCUGGGUAGGGACGAGUGCGGCUGCAUCGUGUGAUGGGGAGUGGCUGUCACCCUGGCGAAUCCCUUCGGAGGCUUACCCAAAAAUCUCCAUAAUUUUCCUUUCAGCCUUAAACCACCCCCUCCAUCCAAUGAACGAUGAACAGACUUGAAAGGCACCGUCUGUUGAGAUGAUGUGUGGAGCGGAGAAGAGCUAAGCUCUACACUACCAAGAAAACCUGAGGAAUGAUCCCUCUGAUGCACUUUCUGAUGUUUAUUGUGUAUUCUGUCUCCCCUGUGUAUCUCUAUACAAUGAAUUUAUUUAUAUUGUAAUGCAGGAAGGUCCUUCCCCCACAAAUGAGAACAAUAUAGCCAAAACAGCUAGCACUGGAUGUUUAAAAAGAUUCACCCCAAAGUUUAAAUUGUUGGUCUGACUUCUGCUGUGGCUGAUUGCACGAAUCCUCAGGAACAGACAGUACCCUUCUGUAAACUAGCAAUAGUAAAAAAGUCUUACUAGCCCAGGCUAGCUACUGAAAAUGCACUGCACCUUUUUGGUCUGUUUAUCAUGUACUGUGGCUAUCCAAUAGCUCUUACGGUUUGAUUCGGGGACAAUAGCAGUCUUUGUUCUGGUUUUGGAUUUGUGCUUGAUUUUGCACUGAUAUGAAUACUAGAUAUAAUACAACUGAGAUUUUGAGGGUUUUAAUAUUAAAUGAGGAGCUACGUAUAUUUGAGAUCUCCAGCAAUUCCCCUCGAGAUUGAUUUUUCCUCUGAUAAUUUUGCCAAACCCAGUUGGUUUCAUCAGAAAUGGUUCUAUAUAGUGUGUCUUUGAGCGAGGCUAGGGAAUAAUCAUCUCUCUCUUAUUUUAAGAUGAAUUAUUUUGUUGAAAGGCUAUUUUGUUUAGAAUAAGAACGUGUAUCUGCUCCCCCUCUCUAGUUCGCUUGAGCUAGUUCUGCCCCAGCUGGAUGAAGCAGUUUAGUUGUAGCUACAAAGAACUUGACAAAGACUGUAAAAGCUGUCCAAGAAGCAGGAUAAAUAGCUUGAGCUCAGCUCUAGGCCACUAGUAGGAUCAGAACUGGCCAGUUAGUGUGCACGUGUCCCAUGCUCCAGUGUAGGUUUGUCAUCCACUUGGAAACCGUCACUGUCCUCACGAUGGACGUAGCAGAAAGCUGCCCAAAUCUGGACAUGUCAUUGGCCUUUUAAAAAACU